AUUGAACGCUGGCGGCAUGCCUUACACAUGCAAGUCGAACGGCAGCACGGGAGCAAUCCUGGUGGCGAGUGGCGAACGGGUGAGUAAAGUAUCGGAACGUGCCCAGUCGUGGGGGAUAACGUAGCGAAAGCUACGCUAAUACCGCAUACGAUCUAUGGAUGAAAGCGGGGGAUCGCAAGACCUCGCGCGAUUGGAGCGGCCGAUAUCAGAUUAGGUAGUUGGUGGGGUAAAGGCCCACCAAGCCGACGAUCUGUAGCUGGUCUGAGAGGACGAACAGCCACACUGGGACUGAGACACGGCCCAGACUUCGACGGGAGGCAGCAGUGGGGAAUUUUGGACAAUGGGCGCAAGCCUGAUCCAGCAAGGCCGCGUGCAGGAUGAAGGCCUUCGGGUUGUAAACUGCUUUUGUACGGAGCGAAAAGGCUCUCUCUAAUACAGGGGGCUCAUGACGGUACCGUAAGAAUAAGCACCGGCUAACUACGUGCCAGCAGCCGCAGUAAAAC
rnacentral:rRNA from 1 species